rnacentral:lncRNA from 1 species
UGUGUGUUUACAUAAAUAUCUACUGCACGCGCACAGCUAUACUUUCACUAAUAAUGGCAAAGAAACAGUACUACAUAGUUCACUAAAUAUCUAGAGAGUAAUAAAGUUUAAAGAUUAUAUUAGUAAAGAUAGAGUGGGGCGGAACAGGAUAAUGAAAGUAGUAAAAUAUAAAAACUAAAGAAAGAUGAGAAUGAGGAGAAAGGUCAGAUAAAGGUUCCUGUUAAGGACAGUAAUACAAUUAGAUAAAAGUAACAAACAACAAAAGGAAAAACAAAGAGGGGAAAACAAAAGAAAAAUCAAAAGACCCCAGAGUCCAAGGGGGGAAAAAGCAACCCAAAACAAUUCCCCUGUGGUUUUAAAUGAGUGGCUUCCUUCCAAGGUCAGCAGUCUUAUGGUCUAGCAGACAUCGGGGAAGGAUGGGUCACUGCUAAGACCUAUUUUGUUUCCACACUCGUGUUCUUCUGUGAGUGCUGGACCUCGCCCUGUCUUUCCUGCCGGGAGUGCUCUGUCACUGAUGUCCACCACACAACUGUAGUCACUCAGGCAACCCCCACUUUCAGCGUACCUCUCUGCACCACAGGCCAUGGAUUUUCCUGCCUAGCCUUAAGGCCUGUAGGUCUGUGAGGCCCACUCCCUCAUCCAGAGACCCUGUGUCUAUAUACCUCAGACUGCGGCUACUGCUCUGUCCGAGCGGUGUUCUUGCUUGCGUUGGUUCAUGGAAAAGCAGAGACCACUGAAUUCUGUGCUGAGGUCAGUAGUGGGGAGGAGGAGGCCAGUCUGCUGGACUUGAUGCCAGCACUUUCAGAUCUAGCUCCCUUGGAAGCCAGCGCACCCCACCUAGCUCCUUACCACAAAGGGCAGGGGCCGCUGUGUCAUUCUUGGCGGAGCUUAAACUUCUCUAUCAAGCCGACAACCUCUCCACAACUCUCCCUCGACACUAUCUCCACCCAGUCACUGUGGCAGGACAAUGCCACAAACCCUGGAGUAUAACUGUUCCGCGGUUGCUCUGCAACUCAGUCCCAAACAAUUAACCUCUUCCCAAAGUAGCUCCCGGUUAAACACUGCCAAACAUGGCAGGCCCUCCACAGACUUCCUCGCUAAAUCCAGGCUGCCUGUGGUGUGGUCUUCCAGAAGUAUGGCCUCCGGGACCCUGAAAGGCUGCACUACUCUCAGUCUACUGGACUUAACUGUGAGGAAGGUGCUUCCCCAGGCAGAGCCUGGAGCCCGGACAAAGGAAAGCUGCUUGAAGCCCGCUGCUCUCUGUCCUCUGGGUCUCGGAUAGUGGCAGUGGACAAGGAGGAGAAGGAACAGGAUGUCAGUGGAAGAAAGAAGCUCCCAGGAGACUAAAGAACAGCGGGACACCCUUAAAAAAAAAACAGAAACUUCUCAAAAUGGUAAUUUGAAUAAAGGUAUUCAAGGCUCUCUACAAAAUAAUCAGUGCAUUUUGUAUCAGUUGUCUG